GAUGAACGCUGGCGGCGUGCCUAAUACAUGCAAGUCGAGCGAACAGACGAGGAGCUUGCUCCUCUGACGUUAGCGGCGGACGGGUGAGUAACACGUGGAUAACCUACCUAUAAGACUGGGAUAACUUCGGGAAACCGGAGCUAAUACCGGAUAAUAUAUUGAACCGCAUGGGUGAAUAGUGAAAUACGGUUUUGCUGUCACUUAUAGAUGGAUCCGCGCCGCAUUAGCUAGUUGGGAAGGUAACGGCUUACCAAGGCAAGGAUGCGUAGCCGACCUGAGAGGGUGAUCGGCCACACUGGAACUGAGACAGGGUCCAGGCUCCUACGGGAGGCAGCAGUAGCGAAUCGUCCGCAGUGGUCGAAAGCCUGACGGAGCAGCGCCGCGUGAGUGAUGAAGGUCUUCGGAUCGUAAAACUCUGUUAUGAGGGAAGAACAAAUGUGUAAGUAACUAUGCACGUCUUGACGGUACCUAGUCAGAAAGCCACGGCUAACUACGUG
rnacentral:rRNA from 1 species